rnacentral:rRNA from 1 species
GAUGAACGCUGGCGGCGUGCCUAAUACAUGCAAGUCGAGCGAACGGACGAGAAGCUUGCUUCUCUGAUGUUAGCGGCGGACGGGUGAGUAACACGUGGAUAACCUACCUAUAAGACUGGGAUAACUUCGGGAAACCGUAGCUAAUACCGGAUAAUAUUUUGAACCGCAUGGUUCAAAAGUGAAAGACGGUCUUGCUGUCACUUAUAGAUGGAUCCGGGCUGCAUUGGCUAGUUGGUAAGUUAACGGCUUACCAAGGCAACGAUGCAUAGCCGACCUGAGAGGGGGGUCGGCCACACGAGAACUUAGACAGGGUCCAGACUCCUACGGGAGGCAGCAGUAGGGAAUCUUCCGCAAUGGGCGAAAGCCUGACGGAGCAACGCCGCGUGAGUGAUGAAGGUCUUCGGAUCGUAAAACUCUGUUAUUAGGGAAGAACAUAUGUGUAAGGAACUGUGCACAUCUUGACGGUACCUAAUCAGAAAGCCACGGCUAACUACGUG